rnacentral:rRNA from 1 species
UGCCAGCCGCCGCGGUAAUACGUAUGUCCCAAGCGUUGCCCGGAAUUACUGGGUGUAAAGGGUUCGUAGGCGGUUUGGUAAGUUGGAUAUGAAAGACCGGAGCUCAACUCCGUGUUUGUGUUCAAAACUGUCAAACUAGAAUUAGGGAGAGGUUAGCGGAAUUCUGAGUGUAGGGGUGCAAUCCGUAGAUACUCAGAGGAACACCAAAAGCGAAGGCAGCUAACUGGAACUAUAUUGACGCUGAGGAACGAAAGCGUGGGGAGCGAAAAGGAUUAGAUA